rnacentral:rRNA from 1 species
UACAGAGGAGGCGAGCGUUGUUCGGAAUCAUUGGGCUUAAAGCGCGUGUAGGCGGCUGCGUAAGUGUUCUGUGAAAUCCCGCGGCUCAACCGCGUGAAGGGCAGGGCAAACUGCGUGGCUUGAGGUCGGUAGAGGUGCCUGGAACUCUAGGUGGAGCGGUGAAAUGCGUAGAUAUCUAGAGGAACGCCUGAGGCGAAAGCGGGGCACUGGGCCGAUUCUGACGCUGAGACGCGAAAGCGUGGGGAGCAAACAGG